CAAUGAAGGAAGUAUGGUAAUGUACACAGAAAUUAAAUUGGGCCUCUAGGUCUGUCCUCUCUGUUGCUAUUUGGCUUUGAUAAGUGGACAUGGCCCAGCAGCAAAGCA